UACGUAGGGUGCAAGCGUUAAUCGGAAUUACUGGGCGUAAAGCGUGCGCAGGCGGUUUUGUAAGUCUGUCGUGAAAGCCCCGGGCUCAACCUGGGAAUUGCAUUCGAGACUGAAUAGCUAGGGUACGGUAGAGGGAAGCGGAAUUUCCGGUGUAGCGGUGAAAUGCGUAGAUAUCGGAAGGAACAUCAGUGGCGAAAGCGGCUUCCUGGACCAGUACCGACGUCAGGCACGAAAGCGUGGGGAGCAAACAGG
rnacentral:rRNA from 1 species